rnacentral:rRNA from 1 species
GAUGAACGCUGGCGGCGUGCCUAAUACAUGCAAGUCGAGCGAACGGACGAGAAGCUUGCUUCUCUGAUGUUAGCGGCGGACGGGUGAGUAACACGUGGAUAACCUACCUAUAAGACUGGGAUAACUUCGGGAAACCGGAGCUAAUACCGGAUAAUAUUUUGAACCGCAUGGUUCAAAAGUGAAAGACGGUCUUGCUGUCACUUAUAGAUGGAUCCGCGCUGCAUUAGCUAGUUGGUAAGGUAACGGCUUACCAAGGCAACGAUGCAUAGCCGACCUGAGAGGGUGAUCGGCAACACUGGAACUGAGACACGGUCCAGACUCCUACGGGAGGCAGCAGUAGGGAAUCUUCCGAAAUGGGCGAAAGCCUGACGGAGCAACGCCGCGUGAGUGAUGAAGGUCUUCGGAUCGUAAAACUCUGUUAUUAGGGAAGAACAUAUGUGUAAGUAACUGUGCACAUCUUGACGGUACCUAAUCAGAAAGCCACGGCUAACUACGUG